rnacentral:rRNA from 1 species
GAUGAACGCUGGCGGCGUGCCUAAUACAUGCAAGUCGAGCGAACAGACGAGGAGCUUGCUCCUCUGACGUUAGCGGCGGACGGGUGAGUAACACGUGGAUAACCUACCUAUAAGACUGGGAUAACUUCGGGAAACCGGAGCUAAUACCGGAUAAUAUAUUGAACCGCAUGGUUCAAUAGUGAAAGACGGUUUUGCUGUCACUUAUAGAUGGAUCCGCGCCGCAUUAGCUAGUUGGUAAGGUAACGGCUUACCAAGGCAACGAUGCGUAGCCGACCUGAGAGGGUGGUCCGCCCCACUGGAACUGGGACACGGUCCAAGCUCCUACGGGGGGGAGCAGUAGGGAAUCUUCCGCAAAGGGCGGAAGCCUGACCGGGCCAACCCGCGUGAGGGAUGGAGGUCUUUGGGUCCUAAAACUCUUUUUUUUGGGAAAAAAAAAUGUGUAAAUAAACUUUCCCCGUUUUACCGGACCCUAACCAAAAGACCCCGCUAACCUCGGG